UUUGGUGAUUAUAGCCAAGGUGAAACACCUCUUCCCAUUCCGAACAGAGAAGUUAAGACCUUGUACGCCGAUGGUACUGCAUGCGCAGGUGUGUGGAAGAGUAGGUAGUUGCCAAAA
rnacentral:rRNA from 1 species